rnacentral:rRNA from 1 species
GACGAACGCUGGCGGCGUGCUUAACACAUGCAAGUCGAACGGGCCCGCUCUCUUUUUUGGGGGUGGGUUGAGUGGCGAACGGGUGAGUAUCACGUGAGUAACCUGCCCCCUGCUCCUGGAUAACUGCUUGAAAGGGCGGCUAAUACGGGGUGUGCCGGCUGGUCCGCAUGGGCCUGGUCGGGAUAGUUUCAUCUUCGGGGGUUUCGGUGGGGGAUGGGCUCGCGGCCUAUCAGCUUGUUGGUGGGGUGAUGGCCCACCAAGGCGGUGACGGGUAGCCGGCCUGAGAGGGUGGGCGGCCACACUGGGACUGAGACACGGCCCAGACUCCUGCGGGAGGCAGCAGUGGGGGGUAUUGCACAAUGGGCGGAAGCCUGAUGCAGCGACGUCGCGUGAGGGAUGGAGGCCUUCGGGUUGUGAACCUCUUUCUCCGGUGGUGAAGGCCCUGUCCGUUGCGGCGGGGUUGACGGUAGCCGGGGAUGAAGCGCCGGCUAACUACGUG